GAUGAAGAACGCAGCGAAAUGCGAUAAGUAGUGUGAAUUGCAGAAUUCAGUGAAUCAUCGAAUCUUUGAACGCACAUUGCGCCCCUUGGUAUUCCAUGGGGCAUGCCUGUUCGAGCGUCAUUUGUACCUUCAAGCUUUGCUUGGUGUUGGGUGUUUGUCCAUUCUCUUGCAGAGGGACUCGCCUUAAAGUAAUUGGCAGCCAGUGUUUUGGUUUUGAAGCGCAGCACAAGUCGCGAUUCAAAGCUAUACGCCCGCUUCCACAAGCCUUUUUCACUUUUGACCUCGGAUCAGGUAGGGAUGCCCGCUGAACUUAAGCAUACAAUAAGCGGAGGA
rnacentral:misc_RNA from 1 species